rnacentral:rRNA from 1 species
AUUGAACGCUGGCGGCAGGCCUAACACAUGCAAGUCGAACGAGUGGCGGACGGGUGAGUAAUGUCUGGGAAACUGCCCGAUGGAGGGGGAUAACUACUGGAAACGGUAGCUAAUACCGCAUACCAUCGGAUGUGCCCAGAUGGGAUUAGCUAGUAGGUGGGGUAACGGCUCACCUAGGCGACGAUCCCUAGCUGGUCUUAGAGGAUGACCAGCCACACUGGAACUGAGACACGGUCAAGACUCCUACGGGGUGCAGCAGAGGGGAAUAUUGCACAAGGGGCGCAAGCCUGAUGCAGCCAUGACGCGUGUAUGAAGAAGGCCUUCAGGUUGUAAAGUACUUUCAGCGAGGAGGCGUUACUCGAAGAAGAAGCACCGGCUAAGUCCGUGCCAGCAGCCGCGGUAAUAC